UACAGAGGUCCCAAGCGUUGUUCGGAUUCACUGGGCGUAAAGGGUGCGUAGGCGGUCGGGUAAGCCUGAUGUGAAAUCUCACAGCUUAACUGUGAAACUGCAUUGGAUACUAUCCGGCUCGAGGAAUGGAGGGGAGACUGGAAUACUUGGUGUAGCAGUGAAAUGCGUAGAUAUCAAGUGGAACACCAGUGGCGAAGGCGAGUCUCUGGACAUUUCCUGACGCUGAGGCACGAAAGCCAGGGGAGCAAACGGG
rnacentral:rRNA from 1 species